rnacentral:rRNA from 2 species
GACGAACCAUGCAAACGUUAUUCGGAUUCACUGGGCUUAAAGCGUGCGUAGGCGGUCUUGUUAGUCAGGUGUGAAAGCCCUCAGCCCAACUGAGGAAUUGCGCUUGAUACUGCAUGACUUGAGAGAGAUAGAGGUGGGUGGAACUGAUGGUGGAGCGGUGAAAUGCGUUGAUAUCAUCAGGAACACCAGUGGCGAAGGCGACCCACUGGGUCUCUUCUGACGCUGAGGUACGAAAGCUAGGGUAGCGAACGGG